rnacentral:lncRNA from 1 species
GUUUUUCUGCCAUGUUCUAAAAACAGGCCCACAGGAAUGAAGUCUAUUUUCAAAGGUAGGAACCAGAAUUGGCAGAGGACGAUGAACUAAGAUAGGAACAAGAAGCCCAAGAAGCCCCAGAGACGACCAGACAGUGCUGAUCUGGGGCGAGGAGAGGUGAAGAGACACCCUCGGCGAUGACGUGCGUGACGCAGGCAGCUCCCCCACAGCAUGCGCCAGCUGCCCGCCUCACCCACAAGGGAAGGCAAGCCCUAUGGGGCUGGAGGAGGGAAACACGGUGGAGGCCAGAUUGCAGAGGAGUUGGGCACCCGCCCCGCAUGGAUGAAGUCAGCUGGGCGGCCGCCACGCCACCUCCGGGCACAGCACCUCCUGGGCCGUCACCGAACCCACCCUCAUAACUACCAAUUUAGCUGCAGUCUCUGCAAAUUUUUGUUUACCAGCUUCAUUCUGUUCUCUUCGAGACCAAGAAAGGAUGCGGUAGGAGUUCCUGCUACAGCGCUCAAUGAAACUUGGAGACAGCCCAGGAUAUACAUGAAUGUAAUAGUACAUGUCAAUCAUCUGGUGUUAUUGAAAACAGCUCACUGCAAACAUGGAAGCAUUCCUAAAUAGCCAGGCAGGGGGCUUUGUGAGUUGUUCUAAAUGCAAGUUCUCAUUAGUCUCAUGCCACUCAAUUCCAUAUAACCUUAGAUGUGAAGCAGAACCUCCCUAAGUUUGUUUCCUUAAGCUUCUUUGUUCAAACUGUUCAACUACGACCUGCCUUCUCUGACCCCAGGGGUGCUAUGAUCAUUUCCUCCAUGCUCACCACGCACUGUGCAUCUUCAGUCCUCCAGUAGAGUCUAGCUCCUCUCUCUGACCUCACCAGCACAGCUUCAGCCACACUGUGAUUCUCAGUCUCAAAACCAG